GACGUAGGGCGCGAGCGUUGUCCGGAUUUAUUGGGCGUAAAGAGCUCGUAGGCGGUGUGUCGCGUCGGCCGUGAAAACCUGCAGCUUAACUGUGGGCUUGCGGUCGAUACGGGCACCACUGGAGUUCGGCAGGGGAGACUGGAAUUCCAGGUGUAGCGGUGAAAUGCGUAGAUAUCUGGAGGAACACCGGUGGCGAAGGCGGCAUCCUGGACCGACACUGACGCUGAGGAGCGAAAGCCAGGGGAGCAAACGGG
rnacentral:rRNA from 1 species